rnacentral:rRNA from 1 species
GACGAACGCUGGCGGCGUGCCUAAUACAUGCAAGUAGAACGCACAGUUUAUACCGUAGCUUGCUACACCAUAGACUGUGAGUUGCGAACGGGUGAGUAACGCGUAGGUAACCUGCCUGGUAGCGGGGGAUAACUAUUGGAAACGAUAGCUAAUACCGCAUAAUAUUGAUUAUUGCAUGAUAAUUGAUUGAAAGAUGCUAUUGCAUCACUACCAGAUGGACCUGCGUUGUAUUAGCUAGUAGGUGAGGUAACGGCUCACCUAGGCGACGAUACAUAGCCGACCUGAGAGGGUGAUCGGCCACACUGGGACUGGGACACGGCCCAGACUCCUACGGGAGGCAGCAGUAGGGAAUCUUUGGCAAUGGACGAAAGUCUGACCGAGCAAAGCCGCGGGAGUGAAGAAGGGUUUCGGAUCGGAAAGCUCUGUUGUAAGAGAAGAAAGGGUGUGAGAGUGGAAAGUUCACACUGUGACGGUAUCUUACCAGAAAGGGACGGCUAACUACGUG